AUUGCAGAAAAAUUGUGCUUGAGGCUUUAAUUUUGACUUCUAUUGUGAUUUUCUCACUCACUAGCUAUAUCUUCUGGGCUUUUAAGAAGGACAAAGAUUUCUUGUUGGCAUAAUGCAGGUUUGAUGUUAAUUGUGUUGCUUCUAUUUUAUUUUCAAGCUUUGCAAUUGUGUGAGGGUGUCCAAUAAGUUAAGAUGGCUAUUGAUGUGCCAUGAGAGCAAAUUUGGUGACUGGCAACGGGUCAGGAUGCAAGAGACUUCCAAAGAGAUACCUGCUGGAUCGUUGCCUAGGUUGUUGGAUGUUAUUCUUCGUCCCGAGAUUGUGGAACAGGCCAGGGCUGGUGACACGUGAGCCUUAUAUUUUCCAACACUUGCUUUGACUAGCCAAAUUGUGGUAAAAACUCACAGGAACUAUAAUUGUUAUUCCUGACCUUUUGGCAUUGGCAUCCCCUGGAGAGAGAUCAAAAUGCCUCCGGGAAGGUUCUCAACGCAAGGGUCCUGCAGUUGGAAAUGAAGGUGUUAGGGGCCUUAGAGCCCUUGGAGUCAGAGACCUCUCUUAUCGCCUAGCA